rnacentral:misc_RNA from 1 species
UACGGAGGGUGCAAGCGUUGUUCGGAAUUACUGGGCGUAAAGCGCGUGUAGGCGGCGCCGUAAGUCGGAUGUGAAAGCCCUCGGCUCAACCGAGGAAGUGCAUCCGAUACUGCGGUGCUUGAGUGUCGGAGGGGAUGGCGGAAUUCCCGGUGUAGAGGUGAAAUUCGUAGAUAUCGGGAGGAACACCUGUGGCGAAGGCGGCCAUCUGGACGACAACUGACGCUGAGACGCGAAAGCGUGGGUAGCAAACAGG